CACGACAAAACGGAAUAAUUACGAUACACACAAUAAUAAUAAUUAUACUUAAUCGGUGGCGGAGACAACUAGGCUACUCGAAGUCUAACGACGAACGUUACCUGUAAUUCGGCAUUUUCCGCGUCCAUGCCAAACCCGAUAGCAACAGCAGCAGCAGGGGAAGAAAGAGUGGGAGAUAGAGGAGAAGCAGCUGCAACGAGAUCGGUGAAUGGAUUUCCGCAGCCGACGCGACUGCAAGGGUGGUCGAUUACGCCGCGACGAGGCGCGUUCAGGAGGUCCGU